UAGUUUUAAGUGUUAAUUUGCACGUUAGAUUUUGAGUUUAAAAGAAUAAAUUAAUUUUAUUAAAAUUAA
rnacentral:tRNA from 1 species